UAGUCCACGCCGUAAACGAUGAAUACUAGGUGUCGGGGGUCGAACCUCGGUGCCGCAGCUAACGCAUUAAGUAUUCCGCCUGGGGAGUACGCACGCAAGUGUGAAACUCAAAGGAAUUGACGGGGACCCGCACAAGCAGCGGAGCAUGUGGUUUAAUUCGAAGCAACGCGAAGAACCUUACCAGGUCUUGACAUCCAAUUGACCGUCUCUUAAUCGAGACUUUCCCUUCGGGGACAGUUGAGACAGGUGGUGCAUGGUUGUCGUCAGCUCGUGUCGUGAGAUGUUGGGUUAAGUCCCGCAACGAGCGCAACCCUUAUUUUUAGUUGCCAUCAGGUUAUGCUGGGCACUCUAGAAAGACUGCCGGUGACAAACCGGGNGGAAGGUGAGGGAUGACGUCAAAUCAUCAUGCCCCUUAUGAUCUGGGGCUACACACGUGCUACAAUGGUCGAUACAAAAGG
rnacentral:rRNA from 1 species